GCCUCCGUAGUUUAGUUGGUUAUAACACCCCACUAGUAAUUUUCGUAUUUAAUGGGGAGGUCUGUCGUUCGAAUCGGCACGGAGGCA
rnacentral:tRNA from 1 species